UGACUCUGGGUUCUCCUCAGAACGAAUAAAUUUUUCGCUUUUUACUAAAGAUUUCCGUGGGAAGGAACAAUUCCAAUGAAUCUAUAAAUAUUUUUUAUGAAGUCUGACGAAAGUUGUUGGGC